rnacentral:rRNA from 1 species
AAGCCCUGCAUGUCUAAGUAUAAACUGUAUACUGUGAAACUGCGAAUGGCUCAUUAAAACAGUUAUAGUUUAUUUGAUAAUCUCUUCUACACGGAUAACCGUAGUAAUUCUAGAGCUAAUACAUGCUGUUAAACCUGACUCAUUGGAAAGGUUGUAUUUAUUAGAUAUCAAACCAAUACUCUUCGGAGUAUUGUGAUGAUUCAUAAUAACUGAUCGAAUCAAGGAAUUCCUUGAUAGAUCAUUCAAGUUUCUGCCCUAUCAGCUUUCGAUGGUAGUGUAUUGGACUACCAUGGCAGUCACGGGUAACGGAGAAUUAGGGUUCGAUUCCGGAGAGGGAGCCUGAGAAACGGCUACCACAUCUACGGAAGGCAGCAGGCGCGUAAAUUACCCAAUCCUGAUUCAGGGAGGUAGUGACAAGAAAUAACAACUCGGGGCCUCACGGCUUACGAGAUUGCAAUGAGAACAAUUUAAACCACUUAGCGAGGAACAAUUGGAGGG